CUUUGCUGACGAGUGGCGGACGGGUGAGUAAUGUCUGGGAAACUGCCUGAUGGAGGGGGAUAACUACUGGAAACGGUAGCUAAUACCGCAUAAUGUCGCAAGACCAAAGAGGGGGACCUUCGGGCCUCUUGCCAUCGGAUGUGCCCAGAUGGGAUUAGCUAGUAGGUGGGGUAACGGCUCACCUAGGCGACGAUCCCUAGCUGGUCUGAGAGGAUGACCAG
rnacentral:rRNA from 1 species